GUAGUUUUGAUUCCCAAGUGCCAUCCCAAUAAAAAGUCUGGACCCAGCUGGCCCCCCCUAUAAAAUAAUCCUGGCUACGCCCCUGCCUUAAAAGUUGGA